rnacentral:lncRNA from 1 species
UGCCCAUCCCUAUGCCUGUCCCCAUGCCCGUCCCUGUGCCCAUCUCCACCUCCAUCCCCAUGCCCAAGUCCAUCCCCAUCCCCAUGGCCAUGCCCAUCCCUAUGCCUGUCCCCAUGCCCGUCCCUGUGCCCAUCUCCAUCUCCAUCCCCAUGCCCAAGUCCAUCCCCAUCCCCAAGGCCAUGCCCGUCGCCAUCCCCAUGCCCAUGGCCAUGCCCAUCCCUAUGCCUGUCCCCGUGCCCGUCCCUGUGCCUGUCCCCGUGGCCGUGGCGGGCGCUCACAGAUGCAGCUGCUGCGGGACGAGUCAAGGAUGUAGCCCGAGUGGCAGAGGCAGGCGAAGCUCCCCCGCGUGUUGGUGCACAGCCCGUUCUGGCAGAAGCCCCCAUCCUGGCACUCAUCCACGUCUGCGGGCGCACAGGGCCGUCAGGGCGGCCGGACCCCCUGGCACCACGGGCACACAGCGGGGGGCUCUGGCUGGCCCCCACCCUGCGUCCCCUCCCGGCGCCCACUCACCCACGCAGGAGCCGUUGGAGCGCUGGAAGCCCUUGGGGCACGGGGCAUCCUGCUGCCCCAGCGCCGGCAGGUUGGCUGGCGUGGGGAGAGCAGCAAUCAGGGCAGGAGCCUCCCCGCGUGCCCCGGCAGCCUCCGGGACCCCCAUCCUGCCGCCCCCCGGGGUCCCCGUGGCUGCAAACGCCCCCCCCUUCCCAGCGCCGUCCUCACCUGUCUCCGCGUCGCAGGGCUGGCACUCGUGGACGCCCCAGGCCACGCCGGCCCCACGGCAGCAGAUCUCCUGGGUCCGCAGGCCCGGCAGGGGCAAGCUGCACUGCACGACGGGGAGACGGCAUGGGUCAGAGGGGGGAGAGCCCCGAACCCCCCCCCCGUCCCGUGCGUGGACCAGGGGGGACGCAAGGAGGUUGCACCGAGGGGGGGAUGCGGGAGGCUGCACCGAGGGGCAGCUGCAUCGUGCGCCUCCCCAGCACCCGCGCACCCUCCCGCGUCUCCCGGCACCCCACCGCAUCCUUGCACACACGCUGCUCGCUGCCGCGUCCGUCCCCUUGCGCGCGGGCCGGCGCGCGGCUCCUGGGCAGGGUUACCUCUCCAUCACGGAGCUGCCGGAAGCAGUAUCCGUAGCCGGCGCUCUCGCCGUAGCCGGGCACGCGGGGGCUGCUCUGGGCCAGGACGCUGUAGAGGGCCGAGCGGGGGCCCGGCAGGGCGUUGGGGGCCGCGGCCUCCUCCUCCUCCUCCUCCUCGGCGCGGGGGCCGCGGACCCGUUCCACCUGGUGGAUGGUGACGGAGGCCUCGGGCGGGUGCUGCACGUGGACGCUCACCAUGGACAGGGCGCCUGGGGGAGCGAGGCUGGUGGGGAGCGGGCGCCGACGGCCUGGAUGCGUCCCCAGACCCCCCCGGCCCUGCUGGGCCCCCCAGAGCCCCCCCAGGCCCCCUAUAGCCCCCCAGUACCCCCCCAGACCCCCAGAACCCCAUAGCCUCCCAGUAGCCCC